rnacentral:RNase_P_RNA from 1 species
CAGGUAAAUCGGACAAUCGCCGGCAAAAUCCGCAAGGUUUUUGCGGGAGGAAAGUCCGGACACCGACCGAUGCAUGGCAACUGUCGUGCAACGGUUAUGAAUAGCGGGUAACACCCGCCCGGUUUGUCGCGAGACAAAUCGAGGGAUAGUGCCACAGAGACAAUACUAAUCCGCCUCGGGCGGGCAAAAGGUGAAAAGUGAAUUUGUGUUUUUCGUUGUUUUCUUAAGAAAUAAUGAAUGAGCGAUAAUUCUCGUCUUUCGGUAACGAAAUGACGCGGUAAACCCUAUUCGGUGCAAGGUCGUGCCCUGUCACUCACGAGUGACGGGGAGUACCGCUUAUGAUCAUAUUGGCGACAAUAUGGCUAGAUAAAUGAUUGUCGAAGGUUUGUUUGUCAUUACUCAAACCCGAACAGAAUCCGGCUUAUAGAUUUAUCUGAUUA